rnacentral:snoRNA from 1 species
CCUCUCUGACCUAGGUAGAGCAGCACGUGGUGGUAGCACCCAUCUCAUAACAGCCAGGGACAAAGCAACCCCUUGUUUAUACCAGCUUGACUUUUGUACCAUACACAUGCCUGGUUCAUGCCUUGAACACAUAG